GAUGAACGCUAGCGAUAGGCUUAACACAUGCAAGUCGAGGGGCAGCAUUAUUUUAGCUUGCUAAGAUAGAUGGCGACCGGCGCACGGGUGCGUAACGCGUAUGCAACCUGCCUGUAAUUAGGGAAUAACCCGGUGCAAAGUCGGACUAAUACCCUAUAUUCUUCUUUCUCCGCAUGGGGGAGGACGGAAAGAUUUAUUGAUUACAGAUGGGCAUGCGUCCCAUUAGCUGGUUGGUAAGGUAACGGCUUACCAAGGCAACGAUGGGUAGGGGGACUGAGAGGUUGACCCCCCACACUGGUACUGAGACACGGACCAGACUCCUACGGGAGGCAGCAGUGAGGAAUAUUGGUCAAUGGGCGAGAGCCUGAACCAGCCAAGUCGCGUGAAGGACGACGGUUCUAUGGAUUGUAAACCUCUUUUGUAGAGGAAUAACGGCAGCUACGUGUAGCUGAGAUGCAUGUACUCUACGAAUAAGUAUCGGCUAACUCCGUGCCAGCAGCCGCGGUAAUACGGACGAUACGAGCGUUAUCCGGAAUUAUUGGGUUUAAAGGGUGCGUAGGUGGCGUAUUAAGGUCAGUGGUGAAAAGCUGCAGCUCAACUGUAGUCUUGCCGUUGAAACUGAUAUGCUAGAGAGGAGACGAGGUAUGCGGAAUGUGUGGUGUAGCGGUGAAAUGCAUAGAUAUCACACAGAACGCCGAUUGCGAAGGCAGCGUACCAGGCUCCGUCUGACACUGAAGCACGAAAGCGUGGGGGAUCAAACAGGAUUAGAUACCCUGGUAGUCCACGCAGUAAACGAUGAAUACUAGAUUUUUGCGAUAUAGUGUAAGAGUCUAAGAGAAAGCGAUAAGUAUUCCACCUGGGGAAGUUACUCCCGGGCCAACCGGGUGGAACACCUUCCAAAAAGGGAAAAUUUUGGAAACCGGGGGGGGG
rnacentral:rRNA from 1 species